rnacentral:rRNA from 1 species
CCUACGGGAGGCAGCAGUGGGGAAUAUUGGACAAUGGGGGGAACCCUGAUCCAGCGACGCCGCGUGAGUGAAGAAGUAUUUCGGUAUGUAAAGCUCUAUCAGCAGGGAAGAAACUGACGGUACCUGACUAAGAAGCCCCGGCAAACUACGUGCCAGCAGCCGCGGAAAUACGGGGGAUGCGAGCGUUAUCCGGAUUUAUGGGGGUAAAAGGGUGCGUAGGCGGACUGUUAAGUCCACGGUAAAAGCCCGGGGCUAAACCCCGGCGAGCCGUUGAAACUGGCUGCCUUGAGAUGUCGAGAGGUAUGCGGAAUGCGCAGUGUAGCGGUGAAAUGCGUAGAUAUUACGAAGAACUCCAAUUGCGAAGGCAGCUUACCGGAGGCGAUCUGACGCUGAGGCACGAAAGCGUGGGUAUCGAACAGGAUUAGAUACCCGAGUAGUC